GGUUCAUUCAAAUUCUGCCCUAUCAACUUUCGAUGGUAAGGUAUUGGCUUACCAUGGUUUCAACGGGUAACGGGGAAUUAGGGUUCGAUUCCGGAGAGGGAGCCUGAGAAACGGCUACCACAUCCAAGGAAGGCAGCAGGCGCGCAAAUUACCCAAUCCCGACCGGGGAGGUGGUGACAAUAAAUACUGAUACAGGGCUCUUUUGGGUCUUGUAAUUGGAAUGAGUACAAUUUAAACCUCUUAACGAGGAACAAUUGGAGGGCAAGUCUGGUGCCAGCAGCCGCGGUAAUUCCAGCUCCAAUAGCGUAUAUUAAAGUUGUUGCAGUUAAAAAGCUCGUAGUUG
rnacentral:rRNA from 1 species